AUCCAGCUGAUGAAUCUUAAAGAGGAAGAAACGUGCGUCCUGGAU
rfam:Schistosoma haematobium scaffold191_8, whole genome shotgun sequence.